AUACGUAGGGUGCGAGCGUUGUCCGGAAUUACUGGGCGUAAAGAGCUCGUAGGUGGUUUGUCGCGUCGUCUGUGAAAUUCCGGGGCUUAACUCCGGGCGUGCAGGCGAUACGGGCAUAACUUGAGUACUGUAGGGGAGACUGGAAUUCCUGGUGUAGCGGUGAAAUGCGCAGAUAUCAGGAGGAACACCGGUGGCGAAGGCGGGUCUCUGGGCAGUAACUGACGCUGAGGAGCGAAAGCAUGGGUAGCGAACGGGAUUAGAUACCCUGGUAGUCCAUGCCGUAAACGGUGGGCGCUAGGUGUAGGGGUCUUCCACGACUUCUGUGCCGUAGCUAACGCAUUAAGCGCCCCGCCUGGGGAGUACGGCCGCAAGGCUAAAACUCAAAGGAAUUGACGGGG
rnacentral:rRNA from 1 species